rnacentral:rRNA from 1 species
UACAGAGGGUGCGAGCGUUAAUCGGAAUUACUGGGCGUAAAGAGCGUGUAGGCGGCCUGACAGGUCUGCUGUGAAAACUCGAGGCUCAACCUCGAGAUGUCGGCGGAAACCGUCAGGCUAGAGUCCGGAAGAGGAGAGUGGAAUUCCUGGUGUAGCGGUGAAAAUGCGCAGAUAUCAGGAAGAACACCUAUGGCGAAGGCAGCUCUCUGGGGACGGUACUGACGCUGAGACGCGAAAGCGUGGGGAGCGAACAGG